CGCGAAUUCGCCCUUCGGGGUGCAGCAGGCGCGAAACCUCUGCAAUAGGCGAAAGCCUGACAGGGUUACUCUGAGUGAUUUCCGUUAAGGAGAUCUUUUGGCACCUCUAAAAAUGGUGCAGAAUAAGGGGUGGGCAAGUCUGGUGUCAGCCGCCGCGGUAAUACCAGCACCCCGAGUGGUCGGGACGUUUAUUGGGCCUAAAGCAUCCGUAGCCGGUUCUACAAGUCUUCCGUUAAAUCCACCUGCUUAACAGAUGGGCUGCGGAAGAUACUAUAGAGCUAGGAGGCGGGAGAGGCAAGCGGUACUCGAUGGGUAGGGGUAAAAUCCGUUGAUCCAUUGAAGACCACCAGUGGCGAAGGCGGCUUGCCAGAACGCGCUCGACGGUGAGGGAUGAAAGCUGGGGGAGCAAACCGGAUUAGAUACCCGGGUAGUCCCAGCUGUAAACGAUGCAGACUCGGUGAUGAGUUGGCUUUAUGCCAACUCAGUGCCGCAGGGAAGCCGUUAAGUUUGCCGCCUGGGGAGUAUGGUCGCAAGACUGAAACUUAAAGGAAUUGGCGGGGGAGCAC
rnacentral:rRNA from 1 species